CGGGCGGGCGGGCCCAGGAGGUGUAAAAGCAAAGCGUCCGCGUCUGCAGCAAGUGGUAUUGCCCAUCUUAACACAGUGGCCCAAUGACCACAGCACACUCUCAGAAUGUGGGAGACCCACUUUCAAUUCCUUUCCUUUGAGAGGAUUCGAAGCCACAUCCUGACCACAACGCUAGAGGCUAUUCUGCGGCAAAGCUGUUUCCACCCUUUCUGCUCCGGCUCUUCUGCUGCACCGUGAAACAACCUGCAGUUCAUUUGCUUCAUGCCUCUCCAUAGAGGUGCUUCCAGGAGCUGAGGUAAACAAGUGAGAUGAGCACGGCUCGCUGGCUGCAUGCUCUAGCCUACACUGGAAGAUCCCAGCAGGCAGUGUAUGGGAUAUCACCUAAGUCCUUUUGUGGAUUUAGCUGUAAAUAAACAAGCAGCUUUAUCAGUUCUACUAGAAUUGCCAAAUUAAAUGUUAUCCUAAGUGACAGAGUCAACUCCCCUGAUAGCCACCUUCCUUCCUGACCAGAGACAUGACAAGCAAACACAUGCCCAGUCCUCUGCUGCCUGCUUUACUGAUAUAUUGCUUUGAGCCUUUGCUCUUCAGCAGCUUGGCAGCUCAGGCAGCUGAUGGACAAGUGCAUUGGCCUCUGCAGCACCUUCCCAAAGGGCAGUGACUUCCAGUGGAGCAACAACAGGUCCAUGCGGAAGUGCCCGUAGCAGAUGGUAAGUCUGUUGGGGCUCACUGACCAUGUUGAAAACUGGUGUGCUAAAAUACACAUCUGCUCUUUUGUAUGAGACUUUUUUACAGUGAUCUUUUCUUUGCACAGAGAAAGGAACCAAUUCUUCCAGCUUUUUGUUAGUUUCUUAGUGUUUACAGCCCCAGUUCUUGAAGUCUAGGGGUUAUGUGGGGAUAUCAACUGUCAUUCACAAAACUGCAUACAAACAAGUUGCUCCACCUAAUGGUUAAUCAGAAAAAACUUGAAGAUAACAGAACCCAGUGUUUGUUUUAAACUUAAACCUAAUCCAUGGUGCUUGAAUACUGGCGGUUGGAGAUAUUGAAAGCUUUCCAGCCUUCAGACAGCUCCCCAGACUCCUCAUCCUGCCAAAUGUGCUGCUCCUCCAGAGGUGCAGCCAGCUCCAGUUGUCAGCUAUGUCCUCCUACAGUCAGCAAGGCAUUUGGGCACAUGGUUCUCCAGCUAUGCCCUCUUAACAACAACAUCCUAAAAUCUGCUAGUCCUGGCAGGAGCAUCUGUUGGCCUGCAGAAGGAGAAGGUGUAUCUCCAGUACGUGGAGUGACCAAGCUCAGCAGGACAGCACAUGAAGACUUCACUCUGUGUAAGUAGCUCUGUCCUGCCCUCUUGAACAGCUAGAUUAUAAAUUCCUUCCUGAGACUUUAAAGAGGACAGAUGCUUCCACAAGGGGUCAAAAGUCUCUUACUUAACCAUAUAUAUAUGUGUGUAUAUAUAUGUCAUAAAGUGUAUCAUCUAAAAAACAUGAAUGACAAGAAUGCUUUUGAUUCCCUAAGGAGUCCUCCUAAAACCCAGGCAAGUCUCGGCAAGGUUAGCUCUUCUGCUGUGUAUGUGCUGUACCCAGUCCAGCAGUGAGGAAACGGUCGAGGGAGCUCAGCUUCAUCACUGCUGAAUUCCAGUCUUUACGGUCACUACUGCUCGAGGGUGACAUAGCAGGCACAGCACCUUCCCCACCCUGCUGAUGACCAGCCAGCCAGCCAGGAGCAUGGACAAGAAGCACAGAACAACAAAUGGUGAGAUUGCCUUAAUACUCAAUGAUUUUGGCACACUGUCCUACAGCAACGGGUUCAUCCACCCCCUCUACGCCCAGCUAGGAGGGAAUUACCAGUUAAAUAAACCUCCUAUGUGAUUGAUAA